rnacentral:ncRNA from 1 species
CACAGGUUUGGUCCUGGCCUUUCUAUUAAUUCUUAAUAAAAUUACACAUGCAAGUAUCCGCGCCCCGGUGAGAAUGCCCUCCAGAUCCUAAAGAUCAAAAGGAGCAGGUAUCAAGCACACCUAUAACGGUAGCUCAUAACGCCUUGCUCAACCACACCCCCACGGGAAACAGCAGUGAUAAAAAUUAAGCCAUGAACGAAAGUUUGACUAAGUUAUAUUAAUUAGAGUUGGUAAAUCUCGUGCCAGCCACCGCGGUCAUACGAUUAACCCAAAUUAAUAGAUCCACGGCGUAAAGAGUGUUUAAGAAAAAAAAACCACAAUAGAGUUAAAUUAUAACUAAGCUGUAAAAAGCCCUAGUUAAAAUAAAAUAACCCACGAAAGUGACUCUAAUAAUCCUGACACACGAUAGCUAGGACCCAAACUGGGAUUAGAUACCCCACUAUGCCUAGCCCUAAACCCAAAUAGUUACAUAACAAAACUAUUCGCCAGAGUACUACUCGCAACUGCCUAAAACUCAAAGGACUUGGCGGUGCUUCACAUCCACCUAGAGGAGCCUGUUCUAUAAUCGAUAAACCGCGAUAGACCUUACCAACCCUUGCCAAUUCAGCCUAUAUACCGCCAUCUUCAGCAAACCCUAAAAAGGAACAAUAGUAAGCACAAUCAUAACACAUAAAAACGUUAGGUCAAGGUGUAGCUUAUGGGUCGGAAAGAAAUGGGCUACAUUUUCUACAUAAGAAUACCCACUAUACGAAAGUUUUUAUGAAACUAAAAACCAAAGGAGGAUUUAGCAGUAAAUCAAGAAUAGAGUGCUUGAUUGAAUAAGGCCAUGAAGCACGCACACACCGCCCGUCACCCUCCUCAAGCAUGUAGUAAUAAAAAUAACCUAUAUUCAAUUACACAACCAUGCAAGAAGAGACAAGUCGUAACAAGGUAAGCAUACUGGAAAGUGUGCUUGGAUUAC